CCCCGCCAAUUCCUUUAAGUUUCAGCCUUGCGGCCGUACUUCCCAGGUGGCUCGCUUCACGGCUUCCCUACGGCACCGACAACGGUCGCACCGUGGCCGACACCUAGCGAGUAUCGUUUACGGCUAGGACUACCCGGGUAUCUAAUCCGGUUCGUGCCCCUAGCUUUCGUCCCUUGCCGUCAGGUCCGUUCUGGUGAGACGCCUUCGCCACUGGUGGUCCUUCAAGGAUUACAAGAUUUCACCCCUACCCCUGAGGUACCUCUCACCUCUCCCGGCCUCGAGCCAGACAGUAUCUCCUGAAAGCCUGACAGUUAAGCUGCUGGAUUUCUCAAGAGACUUAUCCGGCCGGCUACAGACCCUUUAGACCCAAUAAUAACGGUUACCACUCGAGCCGCCGGUGUUACCGCGGCGGCUGGCACCGGUCUUGCCCGGCCCUUGCUAUGAAAUGCUUUUUAGGCAUCUCGACAGCCAGAUUUGUAACCUGGCACUCGAGGUUCCCUUAUCGCU
rnacentral:rRNA from 1 species